rnacentral:lncRNA from 1 species
GGAACGCCCAGCAUUCUUUAAUGUGCAAUCCCGGACAAAAGUGGUCAUGUUAAAUAUCAAAUAUAUAUGUUCUAAAUUCAUAGAUCAUGGGAGGUAUAUGUUGUUGCCGUGAUAGACGUCAUUGUGAGGAAGGUAUAUAUGUAUGUUUUUAAUUAUAGAACCCGUUGGCACUCUUAAUUUUUAUGUUCUUGUCAGAUUUCUGCCAUUUGCGCGGACAGAUUAUCAAGCACUUGUCCGGAUGGAGAAAUCCGUUCGAGCAUCGAGGAUGCCGAAAAUCUUAUAGUUAAAAGUAUGAAUCUUCCCAUUCUUUUUGUGAUUUUGUAGAAAAAAUAUAAAAAUUAACUAUUAUGGGAAAAACAAAAACAGUAUGGCAGUAUUAACAUGGUAACCACUAAUGUCGGAGUACUUCAUGUUAAGACAACGUAAAAUAGUAUACAAAUAAUGAAUGUUUAUGAGUGCAAUGGUAAGAAUAUUUUCAUGAGGUGAAAGAUGGAAUGUUCCAUUCAACGAGGCGACAGCCGAGUUGAAUGGAACAUUCCAUCUUUCACCGAAUGAAAAUAUUCUUACCAUUGCACGAAGAAACAUUCAUUAUUUGUUUUAUAUAAUACCAAAAUAGUUUAGAAUAGACUAAUAGAUUCGUAUGAGAAGCAUUUUGAGGGAUGCGAUUUAUCGAAAACACAAAGAGUGCAAUUGUACUAUACGUUUUAUUCCAUUGCACUCGCGGAGAGUGCAAUGGAACGUGUUCCAUUGCACUCUUGGGAAAUGGAAUUUUCUAUUCGAUAUCACGUGACCAUAAACAGCCAAUUAAACGAUUAGAAUUUAUUAAGGUAUUACAUAUAUAAAAUUUACUAUUAUUAACUUUGUUUAGUUAAAAGUGCGAGGGGUUGCUGCAUGCAUGUAUUGCUAGUAAUACGUGUUGUUUCACAGACCACGACUGAUACAGUAUUAUAAUGUUUCAAAAGCUGGAAUUGCCUCUCGUUUUUACAAUUCUGUACAAAAUAAUACAAAAACAUAACGUGUUGCCAUGCCAACCACUUCACAAUAAUUCAUGCUUCUAAUAUUUUCAUCAAUUAUGUUAAACUUACAUUUAAUAUAUGUUUUAUGGAGUGUUUACCCAUAUACAUUAAACUGACAUUACCUACUAUAAAUAUAUAAACUUACCGAUUUAAAACUCGACAACUGGUUUCGUUGCUUAAAGCACUGCAAGGACACAGGCUCGUUUCUUGCCAUAAGGAAUAUAGUUGCAUUUUUUGCAGCUGCUUCUGGUUAUAUAGGUGUAGAAAUCAAGAGCGAGUGUAGAAAUCAAGAGCGAUAAUGGUUUCCAAAAGUCGUGGAACGAAGCCAUUAUAACCAAAGGACGUAAUUUAUUAUAGAUUAUAUUAUGAAUGUCCAAAAUUGAGAGAACUUGCAUGCCCCCACCCCGUUUACCCACCCAGGAAGACGCUCUUACCAGUAAUGUAUAUGAUAUAGAAAUUCACAAUUCCAUCCAGUAUCUAGAACAUGUAGUUCUACCAAGCGAGUGAGAUGGCCAAAAUCCUGAUAUUUAUCUAAUAAAUUUGUAUAGAAGAAAGUGGGACGGAAGAUGGAGUAAAGGUUCAGAGACUUUGGGCUUACAAUAGCACAGCUGGAGGUAAAUACGUCUUUAUGAAAACUACCGAAACAG